rnacentral:rRNA from 1 species
AUACGGAGGAUCCAAGCGUUAUCCGGAUUUAUUGGGUUUAAAGGGUGCGUAGGCGGACUGGUAAGUCAGCUGUGAAAGUUUGCGGCUUAACCGUAAAAUUGCAGUUGAAACUGGCAGUCUUGAGUACAGUAGAGGUGGGCGGAAUUCGUGGUGUAGCGGGGAAAUGCUUAGAUAUCACGAAGAACUCCGUUUGCGAAGGCAGCUCACUGGACUGCAACUGACACUGAUGCUCGAAAGUGUGGGUAUCAAACAGGAUUAGAUACCCUGGUAGUCCACACAGUAAACGACGAAUACUCGCUGUUUGCGAUAUACAGUAAGCGGCCAAGCGAAAGCAUUAAGUAUUCCACCUGGGGAGUACGCCGGCAACGGUGAAACUCAAAUGAAUUGACGGGG